CCCACCCCCCCAGUCUCCAUCUUCUGCCAAGCACAAGUACAAAAACCUCACAAAGGGGAGUGGGGGCUGCCUACUUACCCUACUCCCAAACUAUCAGGGAAAAAUCCACCUGCCCUCCUCAGGUAGUUAGGGCGAUGCAGCACCCUAUACUGCUCCUGCAUCCCCAGUAGACCCGACCUGCAGGACUAGAGCAGGGUUUCUGAUAUUCUGAUAUUGGCCGUUGUUCCUCAAGGCUGGGUGGGACCUCGUGGCCAGAACCACUGUGACCAUUCUGUGCCCAGAGUGCCCUCUACUCUAGUAGACCUGAAGCCAGGGGAUGGGUGGUCUCUCCCUGUUCCGACCACUCCCUGUCCUCAGACUCUGUGCUCUUUGGAGGUGCCUCUCGGGAGAGAGAGGAACGAUGAGCGCCAGCAGCGAGCUGAAGACAGGAGUGCUGACCACUUGAGAUACAUAUUUGUUUAAUAGUUAACAUUUUGUGUAAGAAAAAAAAGAGAGGAGAGAGAGGGGGGAGGGAAGGCAGAUCCUGGUGAAGUGAAGGCUUUGCUUAUUUUGUAUCCACUAUAACUAUUUCUGUCCGUGAAAAUUGGCUUAAUUAUAUCAAUGGAAUGUUUCUUUUUUAAAUUCUGUAUGCAAUUAGUCCAUCUUGCCGGCUGCAAUUUAUUUUAAUAAAAAAAUAAACCAGU
rnacentral:lncRNA from 1 species